rnacentral:rRNA from 1 species
AGUGAACGCUGGCGGUAGGCCUAACACAUGCAAGUCGAACGGCAGCACAGUAAGAGCUUGCUCUUACGGGUGGCGAGUGGCGGACGGGUGAGGAAUACAUCGGAAUCUACUUUUUCGUGGGGGAUAACGUAGGGAAACUUACGCUAAUACCGCAUACGACCUACGGGUGAAAGCAGGGGAUCUUCGGACCUUGCGCGAUUGAAUGAGCCGAUGUCGGAUUAGCUAGUUGGCGGGGUAAAGGCCCACCAAGGCGACGAUCCGUAGCUGGUCUGAGAGGAUGAUCAGCCAAACUGGAACUGAGACACGGUCCAGACUCCUACGGGAGGCAGCAGUGGGGAAUAUUGGACAAUGGGCGCAAGCCUGAUCCAGCCAUACCGCGUGGGUGAAGAAGGCCUUCGGGUUGUAAAGCCCUUUUGUUGGGAAAGAAAAGCAGCAGGUUAAUACCCCGCUGUUCUUACGGUACCCAAAGAAUAAGCACCGGCUAACUUCGUG